CCCUGGUUAGCUCAGUUGGUAAAGCGCUCCACUGGAAAUGGAGAGGUCCCGGGUUUGAUACCCGGUCCAGGCG
rfam:Ixodes scapularis strain Wikel colony gcontig_1107728791604, whole genome shotgun sequence.